AUGGAACCCCAGAGGGGCUUUAAAAGCGUGAGUCAUGAAAGAAUAAGUGCGAAGUUCGAACAUUUCCCGGAGAUCCCUGAGGGACAAGGGACUUGGCCCGGGUCUCCAGAGGGGAAGGAAGGUACCAGGAAGGAGCCACUUGCUGCCAGACCAGGAGCUGGUGCAGACAUCUGGGCUGGGCGCCACUGCAGCAGCGACAGAACCUGCCGGGACCCAGGGCCACCAAAGGGGCACACGGGGACAGCCUUGCUGCUGCAGAGAAAGGCUGCUACACGGAGACGGGGAGCCAGGCAGGAUCCUGGGGUUCCUGGCUCCAGGGAGAGAGGUGAGCUGGCCUCCUGGUCUGCUUCUGGCACCAUAUGAGGAAGGUGAUGGUCAGCCCACUGAGAAGGAUCGAUCCAGACUCAACAGAUUUACGGUUCUUCUGUCUGUCUGCCCUCCUGCUUUAUGCCUAGGGUCCCGUCUUCAGAAAAAGGAAGACAGUUUUAAAAUUCGACAUUAGGACCAACAGGAAUAUGGUUGAUAAAGAAAGGUACCAAAUAAAAUAGAUUUUAGAAUAAAUUUUCCUAGGUAAUAAGCUCAAUCUUUAUAUGCCAGGGAGGACAGAACUUGAUGAAUCAAUUGUUUUUCUCAUUUUGCUGACAUUCAGUAUUGGUCCUGGGUGCAACUUCUUUCUACACAAAGUAAUGUUUCCUUAUCACCAACACUCCCUUGUAAGCAUAAUUUAGAACUUUGCUAUUAUAACUCAGGAUGCUUCAUUUUUUUUCUCCUUCUCACUAAAUGUUGAGAGAGAGAGAGAGAGAUAAUGCCUUAUCCAUCAGCACUGUCAUUAUCUGAGCAAUAAUUAAAGAUAAAGUAGGGAAAAAAAAGAACUACAUAUACACAGGGAUGAUCAAGGGGCAGGGAGCCCUGUGUCAGGGAAGAGAGAGGAACAAAGGCACUUUCUCCCAGACAUAGGGAGGCCUGAGCAGAGCACUGCUGCCCGCAGCAGCUCGGGGUCACUGUGGGCAGUGGUGGCCUGGGAGGGGUCGGGGGCAGAAUCGGAAGGCAGGGCUUGCAAUAAGGGCUGCGGGCCCAGCCUGGGAUUGGGAUACAGUCCCACAUUUGGGGACCUGUUCCCUAUAAGAAUCAGACCUGAUGUCAUGGCAGUCACUUUAUAUUUAGAGUCUGAGAAUAGCAUGAAGAGAAAAAUUGAUGUUCCUGAUUUCACUGGCAACUGUAGGCUUUGCCAAGGGUGUGCAUCGUUCAAUACAUGGAAGUUAGGAGGUGCAGAAGCUAAAAAGUUGAAUGAGGUACGAUUUGGGGCAGAAAAAGUAAAAACUAACAUUUCUUAGAAGGGUGAAAUUCAGUCUCUGAAGGUUCAAAGCUUAUCUCACAUUACAUCUAUUCCAGGGGUGCGCGCGCACACGGGCGCACACACACACACAAACCCAAACACCCACGCAUGCACACAUACACAUAUGCAUACACACACAUACUCCCCUGCUGAAUGUGAUUAGGUGCAUCUUUUCUCUGCUAUCCUCUGCUUGUACUAGUCUUAAAAUUACAGUCCUAUUCUUCUCUGCAUUAUGAUCACGUUAAAUAAUGUCUUCACCAAUGGCUUGAAACCCUCUUAUCUCCUCAGUGCUUGACUUCCUUCCUUUCUAGCGGCCUCAUAACAUUUUGGGUAGGAAUAACUGCUUAUAGAAUGAGUAGCUGAAGUUUUACUACGUGGAAUACUGUUUUAAAAAAUCCUAUACAUUUACUGCUUUUAAGUUUGCUAGGCUUAAUUAAAUCUUAAGGAGUUUUUGAGAAUCAUACAUUCUUAUUCAGAGAGAAAUCCAUUUUAUUAAAACUACUUCUAUUAAAACUGGAAUUACCUAAGUGUCUCAUUUCUUCUAAGACCCCCUUCUCCAGUGUUCCAAAUCCUCAGGCAUUUUGCUCUUCUUUAGUUAAUUUCACAAAAAGUAAUGCCUGUCUGUGUUGGACACUGCGAUAUACCAACUGGAUCCCCUCACAGAAAUGGAGGAUUCAUGAUUCUCCCUCCACUGUGGAAAUCGCCCCCACUGAAGACAUAUCCAUGCCACAGCUCCUUCCAGGGGCAGCCAUCACCCAAAAAGACCACCAUGUGUGGGAGUAGAAAUCUCAAGUCCUCCCCAGCUAAUCGGAAACUACGAGAGCUGCUCCCAGGAUAGACUGAGACACCCCUUGGGACUGCACCCAAGCCCAACUUCUCCCUCUGCCCAGCUCUGCUUCCCUGCCUGCCUUUGGUCCCAGCUCUACCUGCUCACAGACAACUUGACCACCAGGUCGCUUCAUAGCCUGCUUCUCCCGAACAUAGCCUGGGAUACCCUCCCACAUUUCACACGUUAAGCAGACAGAAACCGUUAAAAGGUGCAAUCUUGGAAGUAUUAUUUCAUUCAGCUUUGUAUUAUGGUCAUUUGUUAAAUAAUGCCCUUACCUACUAGUGGUUCUUUGGGAUUCUAGAAAACAGUGGGGUGAUAUCAUGGAUACACCCGUCACUCCCAAACAACCCGCAGAGUCUGGUGAGAAAGGCACAAGACCCAGGCUGCUGUAAGGGUGUGGCAGAUUCUUAGCCCAGGAGGCGCAGAGACAGGAAGGCUGGGAGCCUGGAGGUCAGCAGAAGCUGUGUGUGACGGACAGCAGCAGUACCGGAGAAGGCAUGGGGAGGGGCUGCAGAUGGAGGAGAAAGGUGUGAGAAAUCCCAGAUACAGGGAGCCCCAUGUGAAAUGUGGGGACCUGGGUGGGUGAGACAGAAUCAGGGAAAUCACUUACAUCACUUGAAGAGCAUCCUAAGGAGCUUGGUUCUUGGUUUUUUGCUUUAGUUUUUGUUUGUUUGUUUGUUUUUAAAGACUGAC
rnacentral:lncRNA from 1 species